rnacentral:rRNA from 1 species
CAGGACGAACGCUGGCGGCGUGCUUCAUACAUGCAAGUCGAACGAGAAGCUGACUUCGGUCAGUGGAAAGUGGCGGACGGGUGAGUAAUAUGUAGAGAAUCUGCCCUUGAGUGGGGGACAACAGAGGGAAACUUCUGCUAAUACCCCAUAUGAGCUAACUUGAAAUAGUUAUCUUGAAAACUCCGGUGCUCAAGGAUGAGUCUGCAUCUGAUUAGCUAGUUGGCGGUGUAAUGGACCACCAAGGCGACGAUCAGUAGCUGGUUUGAGAGGAUGAUCAGCCACAAUGGGACUGAGACACGGCCCAUACUCCUACGGGAGGCAGCAGUAGGGAAUUUUGCGCAAUGGGCGAAAAAGCCUGACGCAGCAACGCCGCGUGAACGAUUAAGCCCUUCGGGGUGUAAAGUUCUGUCAGUAGGGACGAAUUUUGACGGUACCUACAGAGGAAGCACCGGCUAACUCCGUGCCAGCCGCGGC